AGAUGAAAUUGUCUAAGGUAAUCCAGACCAUGUUAUUGAACCAUGCAAUAAGUUUUAAGCAUAUGUUAAGAUCAACUUCUCCAGUUCAUGCAUUCAUAAACAUUUGACUUCAUUUAGCUCAGCUAUUGUAGCAACCCUUCAUAGCUUAUCUCUUUCAUAUGUUUUUUCAGCCUUACAUAAUCAUCAGUUCAUCACAGUCAAAAAUUAAAUUAUCUAAAAGAGCUUCAAAUCUUACACCCUUUUCCUUUUCUGAUACAACAUCAAUCUGCCAAUGAAUACAAAGACAACAAAGAUCCAACUUCUCUUGUUUUCUUUUAUUGCUAAAUGCUAAUGACCAUUUUACUUUACAUUUUCUGAAACAUGAAGCAGGUGGAAAAGACAAUAAGACUAUGAAACAGGAAGGCGGUUAUGUUGGUGCUGGAGAUCCUCUAAGAGAAGGCUACUGAGCUCUUCGGUUGCAUCUGAGCAACUUAAAGCACAGUCAACUGCGUCGAUGGUGGAGACAACCAUGGAAACAAGCGGCCCGGACGAUAUUAAGGCAGGCGAACAGGAGGCGUUUUGGAUGAAAGAACACAAGAAUGGAAACUGGGAUUCCUGAGAAAGGCAUUGAAGAGAUAGAUGUGGCUGAAUUGAGGGAAGAAACAAACUGCUGCCUAAAACUAAGAAACUGAUCUAAAACAAGUGAAAGCUCUCAGCUUUGUUAUGUGCAUAUGAACAAUGAAGAACUACUGAGCAGAACUUUUUUUCUCUCUCUCUCUGAUCUGUCAGUUUCAGUCUCAAAUGAAUACCUACAAAUUUAAAGAUGAUGAAUAUGAUGGAUGAAAGAAGGGAAUCUCAGAA